rnacentral:rRNA from 1 species
GACGAACGCUGGCGGCGUGCCUAAUACAUGCAAGUUGAGCGAUGAAGAUUGGUGCUUGCACCAAUUUGAAGAGCAGCGAACGGGUGAGUAACGCGUGGGGAAUCUGCCUUUGAGCGGGGGACAACAUUUGGAAACGAAUGCUAAUACCGCAUAAUAACUUUAAACAUAAGUUUUAAGUUUGAAAGAUGCAAUUGCAUCACUCAAAGAUGAUCCCGCGUUGUAUUAGCUAGUUGGUGAGGUAAAGGCUCACCAAGGCGAUGAUACAUAGCCGACCUGAGAGGGUGAUCGGCCACAGUGGGACGGAGACACGGCCCAAACUCCUACGGGAGGCAGCAGUAGGGAAUCUUCGGCAAUGGACGAAAGUCUGACCGAGAAACGCCGCGUGAGUGAAGAAGGUUUUCGGAUCGUAAAACUCUGUUGGUAGAGAAGAACGUUGGUGAGAGUGGAAAGCUCAUCAAGUGACGGUAACUACACAGAAAGGGACGGCUAACUACGUG